GGCGGACGGGUGAGUAACACGUGGGUAACCUGCCUAAAAGAAGGGGAUAACACUUGGAAACAGGUGCUAAUACCGUAUAUCUCUAAGGAUCGCAUGAUCCUUAGAUGAAAGAUGGUUCUGCUAUCGCUUUUAGAUGGACCCGCGGCGUAUUAACUAGUUGGUGGGGUAACGGCCUACCAAGGUGAUGAUACGUAGCCGAACUGAGAGGUUGAUCGGCCACAUUGGGACUGAGACACGGCCCAAACUCCUACGGGAGGCAGCAGUAGGGAAUCUUCCACAAUGGACGCAAGUCUGAUGGAGCAACGCCGCGUGAGUGAAGAAGGUCUUCGGAUCGUAAAACUCUGUUGUUAGAGAAGAACACGAGUGAGAGUAACUGUUCAUUCGAUGACGGUAUCUAACCAGCAAGU
rnacentral:rRNA from 2 species